rnacentral:tRNA from 1 species
GGGGCGAUGGCGGAAUGGCAGACGCUGCGGACUUAAAAUCCGCUGGCCGCAAGGCCGUGAGGGUUCGAGUCCCUCUCGCCCCACCA